rnacentral:rRNA from 1 species
GAGUUUGAUCCUGGCUCAGGAUGAACGCUAGCGACAGGCUUAACACAUGCAAGUCGAGGGGCAGCACAGGUAGCAAUACCGGGUGGCGACCGGCGCACGGGUGAGUAACGCGUAUGCAACUUACCUAUCAGAGGGGGAUAACCCGGCGAAAGUCGGACUAAUACCGCAUGAAGCAGGGGCCCCGCAUGGGGAUAUUUGCUAAAGAUUCAUCGCUGAUAGAUAGGCAUGCGUUCCAUUAGGCAGUUGGCGGGGUAACGGCCCACCAAACCGACGAUGGAUAGGGGUUCUGAGAGGAAGGUCCCCCACAUUGGUACUGAGACACGGACCAAACUCCUACGGGAGGCAGCAGUGAGGAAUAUUGGUCAAUGGGCGUAAGCCUGAACCAGCCAAGUCGCGUGAGGGAUGAAGGUUCUAUGGAUCGUAAACCUCUUUUAUAAGGGAAUAAAGUGUGGGACGUGUCCUAUUUUGUAUGUACCUUAUGAAUAAGGAUCGGCUAACUCCGUGCCA